AGUAUACUACUACGGAGACACACACCCCUGACCCUGCCCGAGUCCCAAAACCGUUACAACACACGCACAGCAGAUUCACUCUCUCUCUCUCUCUCUGAGACUCUCUGUUCGAACUUGCUUUCUACAUUUUCUCUGUGAAACCUCUCUGAGUGAUUUUGAAAGAAGAAAGAUGGCAAUUCAGUUCAUGUUCCCCGUUCCGGUUCCGGUGACAACACCAAAUCCAAAGCCAACACCGGAGGCGGAUGCGUCUCUGCCGUGAUUCUUUCACCGGCGACUCCCUUCGCUACGCCUACGUCAACUUCUUCACGUUAUUAGACGCGUCCACGGCUUUAUGUUUUCUCAACCACAAGGAGCUCAAGGGAAAACCCAUAAGAAUCAUGUGGUCACAGAGAUACCCUUUGACAAGAAAAACGGGUAUUGCAAAUCUUUUUGUUAAAAACCUUCACCCAUCCAUCACCAGUGCUCAAUUGCAGACUAUGUUCUCCACGUUUGGGAAGAUAUUAUCUUGCAAGGUCACUGCAGAUAACGGGAAGACGAAGGGUUUUGGUUUCGUGCAAUAUGAUUCUGAACAAUCUGCUAUGGCUGCUCGUAAUGCUCUACAUGGUACACUGGUUAAGGGGAAGAAAAUAUAUGUAUCAAAAUUCGUAAAAAAGAGCGCGAGAACAGUAACCCCUGGAGAAGCUAUGAAGGCUUCACUGCAAGGACAAAACAAAAUUUUAUUUAUAGCAAGGGCUGAGCAGAAGGAGAUUGCCAAUUGCCACAUGGAAAAGCUGAAGGCUAAAAGUCUACCAGUAAAGAACUCAACCCAUCCCGUCCACUACUCUUCUUUCCAAUCAUUGGGAAAGGUAUCCCAUCCUGUACACUACUCUUCUUUCCAAUCUUUUGCAAACUGUUUUGGUACAGAAGUUGGCAUGCAGAGUCCUAUCCCCUUCCCCACAAGUGUAAAGAAACGGCUUUCUUUUCUACCAUUUUUUUCAUUCUGCAAGCUAUUCUUACAUGAUUAUGAAAAUCACAGGAUCUAAUCAAACAGAGACAGCAUAGUAAUACUGGGAAUCAGAGUUUUGUAGGGAAUCCUUUGCGUGCUGCAAAGAUGAAAACAACUCUGUCAAAGUCACAUAAUUCCUUGGCUGAAAGCAAAUGCUAGGACCAGUGUAGAUAUGCCUC